UGUGGCCAAGUUUUUAAGGGCGCACGGUGGAUGCCUUGGCACCAGGAACCGAUGAAGGACGUGGGAGGCCACGAUAGUCCCCGGGGAGUCGUCAACCAGGCUUUGAUCCGGGGGUUUCCGAAUGGGGAAACCCGGCAGUCGUCAUGGGCUGUCACCCGCUGCUGAACUCAUAGGCAGUGUGGAGGGAACGCGGGGAAGUGAAACAUCUCAGUACCCGCAGGAAGAGAAAACAACCGUGAUUCCGGGAGUAGUGGCGAGCGAAACUGGAUGAGGCCAAACCGUAUGUGUGUGAUACCCGGCAGGGGUUGCGCAUGCGGGGUUGUGGGAUCUCUCUUCCACGGUCUGCCGGCCGUGGGACGAGUCAGAAACCGUUGAUGUAGGCGAAGGACAUGCGAAAGGUCCGGCGUAGAGGGUAAGACCCCCGUAGUCGAAACAUCAGCGGCUCGUUUGAGAGACACCCAAGUAGCACGGGGCCCGAGAAAUCCCGUGUGAAUCUGGCGGGACCACCCGCUAAGCCUAAAUAUUCCCUGGUGACCGAUAGCGGAUAGUACCGUGAGGGAAUGGUGAAAAGUACCGCGGGAGCGGAGUGAAAUAGUACCUGAAACCGUGUGCCUACAAGCCGUGGGAGCGUCGCGCAUCGAGCUUGCUCGGUGCGUCGUGACUGCGUGCCUUUUGAAGAAUGAGCCUGCGAGUUAGCGGUGUGUAGCGAGGUUAACCCGUGUGGGGAAGCCGUAGCGAAAGCGAGUCCGAACAGGGCGAUUUGAGUUGCACGCUCUAGACCCGAAGCGGAGUGAUCUAGCCAUGGGCAGGUUGAAGCGGCUGUAAGAGGUCGUGGAGGACCGAACCCACCAGGGUUGAAAACCUGGGGGAUGACCUGUGGUUAGGGGUGAAAGGCCAAUCAAACUCCGUGAUAGCUGGUUCUCCCCGAAAUGCAUUUAGGUGCAGCGUCGUGUGUUUCUUGCCGGAGGUAGAGCACUGGAUAGGCGAUGGGCCCUACCGGGUUACUGACCUUAGCCAAACUCCGAAUGCCGGUAAGUGAGAGCGCGGCAGUGAGACUGUGGGGGAUAAGCUCCAUGGUCGAGAGGGAAACAGCCCAGAGCAUCGACUAAGGCCCCUAAGCGUACGCUAAGUGGGAAAGGAUGUGGAGUCGCAGAGACAACCAGGAGGUUGGCUUAGAAGCAGCCACCCUUGAAAGAGUGCGUAAUAGCUCACUGGUCUAGUGAUUCCGCGCCGACAAUGUAGCGGGGCUCAAGCGUACCGCCGAAGUCGUGUCAUUGCAGCAAUACUCCCAACGGAGGCUGUGAUGGGUAGGGGAGCGUCGUGUGCCGGGUGAAGCAGCCGUGGAAGCGAGUUGUGGACGGUUCACGAGUGAGAAUGCAGGCAUGAGUAGCGAUUCACACGUGAGAAACGUGUGCGCCGAUUGACUAAGGGUUCCUGGGUCAAGCUGAUCUGCCCAGGGUAAGUCGGGACCUAAGGCGAGGCCGACAGGCGUAGUCGAUGGAUAACCGGUUGAUAUUCCGGUACCCGCUGUGAAGCGUCAAACAUUGAAUCCAGUGAUGCUAAGCCCGUGAAGCCGUUCCGGACCCUUCGGGGAAUGGAAAGUGGUGGAGCCGGUGGCCCGAGCUGGUAGUAGGUGAGUGAUGGGGUGACGCAGGAAGGUAGUCCAUCCCGGGCGGUGGUUGUCCCGGGGUAAGGGUGUAGGACGUCAGGUAGGUAAAUCCGCCUGGCUAUAGUCUGAGACCUGAUGCCGAGCCGAUUGUGGUGAAGUGGAUGAUCCUAUGCUGUCGAGAAAAGCCUCUAGCGAGUUUCAUGGCGGCCCGUACCCUAAACCGACUCAGGUGGUCAGGUAGAGAAUACCGAGGCGUUCGGGUGAACUAUGGUUAAGGAACUCGGCAAAAUGCCCCCGUAACUUCGGGAGAAGGGGGGCCAUGUCUGGUGAUGAGUCUUGCACUCUGAGCUGGGUGUGGCCGCAGAGACCAGCGAGAAGCGACUGUUUACUAAAAACACAGGUCCGUGCGAAGCCGUAAGGCGAUGUAUACGGACUGACGCCUGCCCGGUGCUGGAACGUUAAGGGGACCGGUUAGUCACAUUUCGGUGUGGCGAAGCUGAGAACUUAAGCGCCAGUAAACGGCGGUGGUAACUAUAACCAUCCUAAGGUAGCGAAAUUCCUUGUCGGGUAAGUUCCGACCUGCACGAAUGGCGUAACGACUUCUCGACUGUCUCAACCAUAGGCCCGUGAAA
rnacentral:rRNA from 1 species